CUUGAUUCUGAUGCGACGCUUGUAUUUGGGAUGAGGCGCUAAUCGGACGACCUCCACGGCGACGGUUUUGUCGUUGGUGGCGCAGACCACGCGGCCUUGCAGGGACCUCAUGGCUCUAAUUGAGGGGAGGAAAUUGGGGGUUUGGGAGGCCGAUGGCGAAGGCGAAGGCGAGGGUGAGGGCUUAGAGAGGAAUGAGAGAGGAGUUGAGCCAUGGAGG
rnacentral:misc_RNA from 1 species